CUCAUGGCUCUCUCGGAAGCGGUGGGGAGGAGGGAGAGAUGGAGAGUGCAGAAAGGAGAAGGAAUUUUAUUUUAUUUUUCGAUCUUGAAAUGGAUUCAUCUCCGACUGUGGUGGAUCUGUUCUCUGCUUCGCUUUCACAUUGCUCGUCUCCUCUGCUCAUCCCCCAGCGGUGCAGUGGCUUCCUAUUUUCUACCAUUGCGAUCGUGCA
rnacentral:lncRNA from 1 species